GCACCCCAAUGAUAUAAUACCGGCAUAUAAAGGGUUAAUCCCCGCACCCCAAUAAUAUAAUACCGGCAUGUAAAGGGUUAAUCCCCGCACCCCAAUAAUAUAAUACCGGCAUGUAAAGGGUUAAUCCCCGCACCCCAAUAAUAUAAUACCGGCAUAUAAAGGGUUAAUCCCUGCACCCCAAUAAUAUAAUACCGGCAUAUAAAGGGUUAAUCCCCGC